CUUGCUUGAUCACAUUAGCUGGAUUAGAUCAGCAGUGAUAGUACUCUAGCUGGAUCACUGUGUUUGCCUUGAUGAGGUACUUGAUGACCAUCAUCCAAGACAAGAUUCCUGAAAGAUGCUGAAGUUCAUGCAGAUACUGAAGAGAUCGCACCUCUGCUGAAUAAAGAGAGAAAACAUUCAAAGAGGAGAGUCCUUAAGAUGCCAUUGAUUCUUCAUAAACAUGAAUGCACUGAGGAGACAAAAGUGGUUUUCUUUGCUGCUUUUCCACCUGUCUGCUUCUGUUGCUAUGGCUGUUUAACAGCAGCCUGCAACUUGCCGCCUCCCUGCAUCCCUGCUCCAAGACGCUUGGUUCAGCCUUGGCCAGCUGCUGCCUGAGGAGCACCGUGGACGUUGGAUGAUGGGGGAGGCGUGUCAGUAUGAGAGGACAAGAAGUGCCAUAGCUCACUCUGUGGUGUGUGAAAGGUUGAUGAAAGGCCCAUCCCUGGCUCCUGCUGGAAUGCUGUAACUCUCCUGGAAGGGAGAGCAGAGAAGAUCAAAGACAAAAUACUGCCAAGGAACAAAACUUAUAAAGAUUCUGCAGCCCGUCUAAUUAUCACAUCAUUCUUUGAGUCAACACACCAGGCUUCUGGUGCCAGCUGUGAAAAAGGCAAUUAAUAACUUUAAACUAAGCCCGGCUUCAGGCUGAGGACAAGAAGCUGUGAAGAGCUAUGUACAGGUAACAGACCUACUGUUUUCAUCCCUUAAUGCGGCACACUGAUCUUUUCAUGGUGGUGUAGUAGGGAUGGGGGGAAAUGCCUUUAAGAAACUUGGAGAAAUGGAAUUAAGUCUCUACAGAUUUUAAAAGGUCUCUGUCAAUCCUGAAAAUGAUGGCAUUUUAAGAAGAUAAGGCAAGUACCACUCACAUCAUAAAAGCUGAAGUACUGCUUUGCAAAUGCUGCAAGGGGAAUAGCAAGGAGUUUGUAUCCUGCUAUCCUGAACUGAACUUUCCAAAGCGAAACUGGUUCCUACCAAUACAUAUUAUGCUCUGGCUCCAACAAAGGACCUUGAAGAUUGCUAAACGUUCCUGGUUGAAUCAUUGCAGCAGCUGGUGAUGUAAACUUUGUAAAUAGUGCUGUCUCCCUUUUAUAGGUGUGAAAGCUAAAGCACAGAGGGCAAUGCUGAUUCGAAUGAAAGACUUGUAAAGUCCCAAAUGUCUGUCAGUUGUUUCUAAUCAGUCUGACGUUGGGUUUUUGUUUGGGUUCAGAAUUCCAGUUGUGAAUGUGUGCCCAGGUUGUGUCCACUGAAAGAGGGCAACAUUUUUGGCACUGAAUGACUUACUCUGGCUCAAAGAGGAAGACUGUGUGAAGACUAGGAAUCAGGUCUCUUCAUUUCAGUGCCUGUCCUUGAAAUGUAAGACUGUAUUUCAUCUUUUUAGCAUGUGAAUAACCUGUUCCAGGUACCUUGUAAUACCUUCAUGCACCACACACUAAGCAUUUUCCAUCAGUGGCAGGCUUGGCAGCCAGAAAAGUGAUCCCCGGUACCUGAUGUGUGGUUUAUGGAAAGAAGGAUUUCAUGACCAAUUUUGCUACACAUUAAGGGCAAAAAAUUGCCCAAGUGUGUUUUAUAUAUACAUCUAGCAGAAAUCCCCGGUAUUUCUGAAGUUGUUUCUAAGCCACCUUGUUUCAAUUUAAGAUUUUGCUAUAAAAUAAACCUUCUUAAAAGCUGCAUGUCAUUAUGUUUUGACUUAAAAUUAAAGGAACAUUGUAACUUCUUUUAUUUUGUUAAUAUUCCAAAAAUAAAUAUUUUUACU